GUCUAUGGCCAUGCCACCCUGAACAAGCCCGAUGUCUGAUCUCGGAAGCUAAGCAGGAUUGGACCUGGUUAGUACUUGGAUGGGAGACCACCUAGAAAGACCAGGUGCUGUAGGCA
rnacentral:rRNA from 1 species